AUUGAACGCUGGCGGCAGGCCUAACACAUGCAAGUCGAGCGGAUGAAGGGAGCUUGCUCCUGGAUUCAGCGGCGGACGGGUGAGUAAUGCCUAGGAAUCUGCCUGGUAGUGGGGGAUAACGUCCGGAGACGGGCGCUAAUACCGCAUACGUCCUGAGGGAGAAGGUGGGGGAUCUUCGGACCUCACGCUCUCAGAUGGGCCUAGGUCGGAUUAGCUAGUUGGUGGGGUAAGGGCCUACCAAGCCGACGAUCCGUAACUGGUCUGGGAGGAUGAUCAGUCACACUGGAACUGGGACACGGUCCAGAGUACUACGAGAGGCAGCAGUGGGGAAUAUGGGACAGUGGGCGAAAGCCUGAUCCAGCCAUGCCGCGUGUGUGAAGGAAGUCUUCGGAUUGUAAAGCCCGUUUAGGUGGGAGGAAGGGCUGUAAGCUGAUACCUAGCUGUUUUGACGGUACCAACUAAAGAAGCACCGGCUAACUACGUG
rnacentral:rRNA from 1 species